rnacentral:tRNA from 1 species
CUCUCCCAUCUCUACGUAUCCUAUACCUAACAGAUGAAGUCAAUGACCCAUCCUUCACCAUCAAAUCAAU